GAUGAACGCUGGCGGCGUGCCUAAUACAUGCAAGUCGAGCGAACAGACGAGGAGCUUGCUCCUCUGACGUUAGCGGCGGACGGGUGAGUAACACGUGGAUAACCUACCUAUAAGACUGGGAUAACUUCGGGAAACCGGAGCUAAUACCGGAUAAUAUAUUGAACCGCAUGGUUCAAUAGUGAAAGACGGUUUUGCUGUCACUUAUUGAUGGAUCCGCGCCGCAUUAGCUAGUUGGUAAGGUAACGGCUUACCAAGGCGACGAUGCGUAGCCGACCUGAGAGGGUGAUCGGCCACACUGGAACUGAGACACGGUCCAGACUCCUACGGGAGGCAGCAGUAGGGAAUCGUCCGCAAUGGGCGAAAGCCUGACGGAGCAACGCCGCGUGAGUGAUGAAGGUCUUCGGAUCGUAAAACUCUGUUAUUAGGGAAGAACAAAUGUGUAAGUAACUAUGCACGUCUUGACGGUACCUAAUCAGAAAGCCACGGCUAACUACGUG
rnacentral:rRNA from 1 species